rnacentral:rRNA from 1 species
GACGAACGCUGGCGGCGUGCUUAACACAUGCAAGUCGAACGGAAAGGCCCUGCUUUUGUGGGGUGCUCGAGUGGCGAACGGGUGAGUAACACGUGAGUAACCUGCCCUUGACUUUGGGAUAACUUCAGGAAACUGGGGCUAAUACCGGAUAGGAGCUCCUGCUGCAUGGUGGGGGUUGGAAAGUUUCGGCGGUUGGGGAUGGACUCGCGGCUUAUCAGCUUGUUGGUGGGGUAGUGGCUUACCAAGGCUUUGACGGGUAGCCGGCCUGAGAGGGUGACCGGCCACAUUGGGACUGAGAUACGGCCCAGACUCCUGUGGGAGGCAGCAGUGGGGAAUAUUGCACAAUGGGCGGAAGCCUGAUGCAGCAACGCCGCGUGCGGGAUGACGGCCUUCGGGUUGUAAACCGCUUUCGCCUGUGACGAAGCGUGAGUGACGGUAAUGGGUAAAGAAGCACCGGCUAACUACGUG